AAUUUUUAUUUUACCAAGGAGCAAAAUUGAGUAAGUUUCCUGACGAAAAUAAUGAGUGUCUACUGUUCUAGGGCCUUUAACAACAACAACAAAUUUACAUUAACGCACCUUAGGUGCCAGGAAUUGCAAGAUGCAUAAGAUUAGUUUUUAAAAUGUGCCUGCUAGAGCUGAACAGGGAGGACGGAGAACAGACGGCUCCUCCGGCAGACGCGACCCGGCCCGCUCCAAACAACGCUCCGGGCACGACAAGAUCCACCCGCUUAUCUGCCGCCGCUGUAGCCCUUACCAGUUCUUUGGGCGGCUUCUCCUGGGUCUUUCCAAACAGCCCCAUGACGAACUGAACCCGUCUUGCCCCUUCCGGCUGUCCGUUCCCCGCGCCCAGAUGUUGCACCAGAAGUCUGGAUCUCCACGCAGACGUGUACAUUUAGCAUCACUUUCCCGACAGCUUCAUCUUUGUGUCCAGUAGGCAACUCACAGGCCAUCGCCCUUUCCAGCGUGGGUGAUUCCUGCCUAGCAUUUGUCCAUGUGUGUCCCGUCCUACACGCCACACUGACCGUGAGCUUAAUCACACUCUCAAAGGAAUCUGACUAAAGAGAACUAGACACAUUUUAGCGCGGACAGUUCCUGAUUAGGCCUAUACGAGACCAUGCAUAAAAUGGACCUGGAAAAGCUUGAAAAUGUGAAGAGGAUUGAACUGGCUGGCAUCUGUGCAUCUUCAUCUAUGAAAACACUCCUCAUAGACUUAAAACAAAUGACAGAGAACAAAUUAGUCAGCUUCUAAAACACAGUGGUCUCCCCUUAUCCUCAGUUUC
rnacentral:antisense_RNA from 1 species